GGUUAUGGCUCAGGGGUACAGCGCUCUCCUAGCACCCGCGAGGCCCUGGGUUCAAUCCUCAGCACCA
rnacentral:tRNA from 1 species